rnacentral:rRNA from 1 species
CGUCAAGUCCUCACUGGCCCUUACAGGCUGGGCUACACACGUGCUACAAUGGCAUCUACAGUGGGCAGCUAUUCCGCAAGGAUGCGCUAAUCUCCAAAGAUGUCUCAGUUCGGAUUGUCCUCUGCAACUCGAGGGCAUGAAGGCGGAAUCGCUAGUAAUCGCGGAUCAGCAUGCCGCGGUGAAUACGUUCCCAGGCCUU